CCUUCAUGAAGCUGGAAUUGCUAGUAAUGGCAGGUCAGCAUACUGCCGUGAAUACGUUCCCGGGCCUUGUACACACCGCCCGUCACACCAUGAGAGUUGGGAAUACCCGAAGCCUGUGAGCUAACUUAUAGAGGCAGCAGUCGAAGGUAGAAUCAAUGAUUGGGGUGAAGUCGUAACAAGGUAGC
rnacentral:rRNA from 1 species